ensembl:lncRNA
AUGACAGACAUCUUACCUUCAUUUCUCCCUCCAAUGCAUGCCACCAGGUACGUCAAGAGUCUGCAGGAGAGACCUACGCCACCAGCAGAGCCACAGGCAGGAAAGGUGGUCAAUCCACGCCGGCCAACUGCUGAGGACGAGCCACCACAGGUGCUGGAGAGGACAUCUCCACCUACUCCAGUGGUGCAGCUCCCAACUCCGAGGUUUUGGGGAGCUUUUGAAGACCUGUUUCCCGUUACCCUUCACGGGAAGCCUCCGACGAAGGUGCAGGCAGCAGAGGCAGGAUUUGAGGACCGCAGCUACUACCACUACUGGAGGAGGCUUCAGUACAAGCUGCGGGUACAGUAUACUCUUGAGCAAUCCAUUGACAGGACUGGCCAAAAACCCCCGGCGUCUCGUGUCCAGCGUGCCAUUGCCAAGGAGACCAGGUGGACCACUAAUGUGCCAUCCGUGGACAGUGUUCUGCUGGCGUGGGUGCCCUGCCAGGAACUGUGUCCUGUCGCAAAUGACCCUCUCCUCAUUGCUUCCGUGGUCCAUCAGAAGUGGAAAGGGCUGGCCAUUAAGCACUUCGAGGGGAAAGGCAAAGGUGUGACUACCCACAUUUGUAAUUAUUUGGAGGAACAGGCAGAGGGAAGCUGUUUGCUCAAUAGCACGUUCAUUUACCUUUGUGCAGGGGUCAUCGCCACCAUGGAGUUCCAGAGGAACCAGCAAAAAUGAGCUCCUAAAACUUAAAAAAAAUCUUCAAACAGCGGUACGAGAGGAUGUGGUGC